UAGGGAAUUUUCGGCAAUGGGUGCAAGCCUGACCGAGCAACGCCGCGUGAGUGAUGAAGUUUUUCGGAAUGUAAAGCUCUGUUGCGCGGGACGAAUGGAGAGGGAGGACCCUCUUGUGACGGUACCGCGCGAGGAAGCCACGGCUAACUACGUGCCAGCAGCCGCGGUAAUACGUAGGUGGCGAGCGUUAUCCGGAAUUAUUGGGCGUAAAGGGUGCGCAGGCGGCCUUUUAAGUUCAAGGUGAAAGCGUGGGGCUCAACCCCAUAAAGCCUUGGAUACUGGGAGGCUGGAGUACUGGAGAGGACAGCGGAAUUCCAUGUGUAGCGGUAAAAUGCGUAGAUAUAUGGAGGAACACCGA
rnacentral:rRNA from 1 species